AAGUUCUUGGACAUUUCUCGGGAUUUUCAGGAACGUCGUUCUUGUUGUUUUCCGACAAAUUUUACAUAAGGUAUAAAACCAACGAACAGGAGGAAUCAAAAGGCUUUAAUCUAACAUGGUCAGUGGCUACCGUAAUGGAUACAGUCAGAGUUUCCUGUGCAAGCAGUGGGUGGUUAGCUAUGGUAAAUUUAACAUCACUAAAAUACGUACAUCCAGACACAAUUCAACCUGACAAGAUAGUUAUAAAUUUACCAAAUUGCUAUGGUUCCAUAUUCAGCGAUUUGGUCGUUUUUAGGCAGAACUAUACAACAUGCUCUUCAAAUAGAACGAUUGUGAACAGCUUUCUCAUUUAUACAAAUAAAUUAGUGUAUCUUGACCAUGGAAUAACUAAAUGGACUGUGCCAUUAGAGUGUAAGAAACAACGGACAACAAGAAUCGCUAACUUUCAUUUAUAUUCAAACAAAAGAGCACUAAGUUUAGAUAACAAACCAGACUUCAACUUCUCCGUAGUUUUCUUCUACGACAGAGAAUUUAAAGAGACUGGAGAAAAUCCUUACGCUUUCCAACAAUUGUAUGUUUAUGAAAUCACAUUAAUGGAUAACGAUGAAGACCUAACGUUUGAGGCAGAGAGUUGUUCAACUCAUCAAAGUAAAAACGGGAAGACCCUUUCUAGGCAACAUAUUGAAAACGCGAAACCAACCGAUGAUGACGUGACACUUACCAAAAUAUCAAGAGUGAAAACAUUUGUUAGUAUUGCUGUGACGGAAGAUUUAGCUACCAUGUUUACAUGUGACAUAAAG